AGAGGUGCCUGGUGGAGCAUGCUGAGCAUUUUGGCAUCUUGGGUGGUGGCUACUAUUGUCUGGGUUUAGUGGUGAGUUUUCCUUGAUACCAUACUGGAGGAAGCUGAGUAGCCUAGUUCAGAUAUUUUCCUUCUAGGGCAGUGAGGAUAUGCAUGGGGAAAGAGCCAUUCUGCAGGAAAAUUUCUGACAAAUCCCAGAAACCACUAGAUCCUGAUGAGAAAGGCUUAUGAUACAGGAAUUAUCCAGUACUUUAUGUAGCCUACCUUCUCAAAUUGGAUAUGAGAAGAACCUGAAGAACCCAUCAAGUGCUUUGGAGUGAGCAGUUUUAUUCUGUUGAAAGAUAUCAUGAUUGCAACUCCUGCCUUCUUUCUAUCAGUUAAGGCCCAGAAGAUCUUACUCCAUCCUUUAAUUCUGACCCUGUAGAUGUCUACCCGCCUCAAGUGUGUUUCUUGAAGACAACAUAUGAAUGAAUACAGAACAUUUUGAAAAGGAGGAAGGAUAAAAUUGACUGCAUAUCCAUCAAGCUAAAUGUUAUGAAGAGCAGUUCUAAUUAAUGAAGAAAAAUAGGCAUAGAGACACCCACAAGUUCCUAGAAGACAAAACUCAAAGAAGGAGGAUGUUCUUUGGCUUUGGAAGAACAGAACACAAAUGGCUGAUAGGAAAUUGAUGCCCAAGAUAAGGCAGCUUCCCUUGAUGAGUUUAAGUCACCAGUGGCAGAUGAAUCACAUCAGAUGGGGCUGAAGGAAUAGGCAUGGUCUUUCCUGCUUCUUGUCCCUUAUAAUAUUCAUGGAUGAAGAUUUGAUCAUAUCCUGUGCUUCACAGAAAGACCAGCCACUCUUAUCAAACACAGUCAGUAUUCCUUAUCAUAAAUCAAGAAGCUAAAGUCUACUGUCAUAUGCUUUACUCUUUUAGCCAUGGUCCCAAUGGCCAAAGUAAUCUUGUGGCUUUCCAGCUGUCACUCCAAUACUCAGCUCAUCUCUUGCCUUCUCCAAGGGUAUACAAGGUGUACAAAUAGCCAUCAGCAUCCAUGGUGCUCAGAACUGUCUUCCUUACUACCAGUAACUUCUGGGGAAGGAACUCAAUUACUUCUGUCUCCACUGCUUUUGUGGUUGUUCCUGAUGGCUUUCUUCCAUUGCAUAGAUCUUUCCUCAAUUUCUUCACAAUCUUGAGAAGUUCAAAUUAUUUUACAGUUCCAUCAAGACCUUUAACAAUACUUACCAGGAUGCAGAGCUAGCAUUCAAUUUUCUUGCCUCAAGGGAAAUUUAUCCAAUUCUGCAUUCAUGUCUUCUCCUUUCUCCCCCUCCCUAAUUAUAAUACAAGGUUUUUUAGGGCAGUGAUUAUACCACUUUUCUUCUUUACAUACCCAUUGUCUAGUAAAGUGUAGUCUUUGCACCUAAUACUGCUUAAUUAUAGUUUUAUGCAUUAGUAUUCAUCUGUCCCUGCCUCACAUGCCUUUGCUUCUCAUUUCUACCUCUUGGCUUCCUUCAAGUCUCAGCUAAA